UUUCCGUAGGUGAACCUGCGGAAGGAUCAUUAAUGAGUUGUCAUGGGGUUCGAUGCUGGCAGCCAGUUUUUGGAUGCAUGUGCUUGCCCUAACAAUCAUCUUCUUCCAAACACCUGUGCACAUUUUUGAGGGAGUCUUGAGUUGGUUGCCGCUCUUGAGUGAUUUUCUCACAUUCCCUUAAAUCAUUAUACGCUAUUAACAAUGUUGAACGUGCUCUGUGCCGCAAGGCCAUUAAUAUAAUACAACUUUUAACAACGGAUCUCUUGGCUCUC
rnacentral:misc_RNA from 1 species